UGGGGAAUCUUGCGCAAUGGGCGAAAGCCUGACGCAGCCAUGCCGCGUGAAUGAUGAAGGUCUUAGGAUUGUAAAAAUUCUUUCACCGGGGACGAUAAUGACGGUACCCGGAGAAGAAGCCCCGGCUAACUUCGUGCCAGCAGCCGCGGUAAUACGAAGGGGGCUAGCGUUGCUCGGAAUUACUGGGCGUAAAGGGCGCGUAGGCGGACAUUUAAGUCAGGGGUGAAAUCCCAGAGCUCAACUCUGGAACUGCCUUUGAUACUGGGUGUCUUGAGUGUGAGAGAGGUAUGUGGAACUCCGAGUGUAGAGGUGAAAUUCGUAGAUAUUCGGAAGAACACCAGUGGCGAAGGCGACAUACUGGCUCAUUACUGACGCUGAGGCGCGAAAGCGUGGGGAGCAAACAGGAUUAGAUACCCACGUAGUCCCUGAGCGGGCUGGCAAGGCGCAU
rnacentral:rRNA from 1 species